GACGAACGCUGGCGGCGUGCCUAAUACAUGCAAGUCGAGCGGAAUGAAGAAGAAGCUUGCUUCUUCUGAUUUUAGCGGCGGACGGGUGAGUAACACGUGGGCAACCUACCUUGUAGAUUGGGAUAACUCCGGGAAACCGGGGCUAAUACCGGAUAAUCCAUUUUGCUUCAUGGCGAGAUGUUGAAAGACGGUUUCGGCUGUCACUAUAAGAUGGGCCCGCGGCGCAUUAGCUAGUUGGUAGGGUAAUGGCCUACCAAGGCGACGAUGCGUAGCCGACCUGAGAGGGUGAUCGGCCACACUGGGACUGAGACACGGCCCAGACUCCUACGGGAGGCAGCAGUAGGGAAUCUUCCACAAUGGACGAAAGUCUGAUGGAGCAACGCCGCGUGAGUGAAGAAGGUUUUCGGAUCGUAAAACUCUGUUGUAAGGGAAGAACACGUACGAGAGUAACUGCUCGUACCUUGACGGUACCUUAUUAGAAAGCCACGGCUAACUACGUG
rnacentral:rRNA from 1 species